rnacentral:tmRNA from 1 species
GGGGGCGACCUGGUUUCGACGUGGGUUGCAAUUCCUGAGGUGCAUGUCGAGCUUUUAGUAACUCGUUAAAUUGCUAAAAAACUAUAAACGCUGAAAAUAAACCUUUAGCCCUAGCAGC